UCCUGCUGAAAGAAGCCACAGCCAUCUGGGAACGAUGUACGUGCUCUGCAACAAUGCUUAGGUAGGUGAUACGUGUCAUAGCAACAUCCACAUCAAUGACCCAAGGCUUCCCAGCAGAACAUUGACCAAAGCAUCACACUGCCUCCCCUGGCUUGCCAUCCUGAUGCCAGGUGUUCCCCAGGUGACCCACAGAUACGGACCAUCGCAGACAGGAAGCCCCCCAAGAGCUGCAGUUGUGGAGUUGUGCUGACCCAGUCGUCUAACCAUCACAGUCUGUCCUUGACGUUUGCCCAGUUUUCCUCCUUCUAACACACUAACAGGAGCCAUGCUGAAGAGAUAAUCAGUGCACAUUAGCUGUUAUUGGUCGUGAUGUUUUGCCCGAUCGGUGUUUUACCAGAACCAGCAUACAAAUUUAAAUAAAAUGUCCUACUUGCA